rnacentral:rRNA from 1 species
ACUGCUCAGUAACACGUAGCUAACCUGCCCUAAAGCCUGUGAUAACCUCGGGGAACUGAGGGUAAUAACGGAUAGGAAAUUUUUUCUGGAAUGAUUAAUUUCUGAAAGUUAAGCUUUAGGAUGGGGCUGCGGCUGAUUAGGUAGUUGGCGGGGUAAAUGCCUACCAAGCCAUUGAUCAGUAAGGGCCUUUAGCGAGGAAGCCCUGAGAGGGAGUCUGAGACACUACUCCCAGCCCUACGGGGUGCAGCAGUCGGGAAAAUUUUGCAAUGCGCGAAAGCGUGACAGAGCAAGCCAGAGUGAUUUUCCGUAUUGGAAAAUCUUUUGUGAGAUGUAAGCAGUCUUACGAAUAAGGAGUGGGAGAGACUGGUGCCAGCCGCCGCGGUAAUCCCAGCACUCCAAGUCGCAGCCACAAUUAUUGGGUCUAAAACAUCCGUAGCUUGCUUUGUAAGUCUUUUGUGAAAUCGGGCAUCUUAAGUGUCCGGCGAGCAAAAGAUACUGCUUAGCUAGGGACCGGGAGAUGUAAGGAGUACAGAUGGAGUAGCGGUAAAAUGCGUUGAUCCCAUUUGGACUAACAACAGCGAAGGCGCCUUACAAGAACGGAUCCGACAGUGAGGGAUGAAGGCUAGGGGCGCAAAUUGGAUUAGAUACCCAAGUAGUCCUAGCAGUAAACCCUGCACACUGAACAUCGGGGCCCCUUCGAGAGGUUUCGGUGCUGUAGAGAAGUCGGAGAGUGUGCCUACCUGGGAAGUAUAGUCGCAAGGGCCGAAACUUUAAAGGAAUCGGGCGGGGGGAGCAC